rnacentral:rRNA from 1 species
GCAAGUCGAGCGCUCACCUUCGGGUGGGAGCGGCGGACGGGUUAGUAACGCGUGGGAAUAUACCCUUCUCUACGGAAUAGCCUCGGGAAACUGAGAGUAAUACCGUAUACGCCCUUCGGGGGAAAGAUUUAUCGGAGAAGGAUUAGCCCGCGUUUGAUUAGAUAGUUGGUGGGGUAAUGGCCUACCAAGUCUACGAUCUAUAGCUGGUUUUAGAGGACGAUC